rnacentral:rRNA from 1 species
CAAUAGCGUAUAUUAAAGUUGUUGCGGUAAAAAAGCUCGUAGUUGGAUUUCUACCGAAGAUAGCCGGUCGGGUCUUCGACCUUGUAUCUGGUUUUGUCUUUGGUAUCCUAAUAGGGAACGUUUCUGCGCUUUAUUGCGUGGUGCGGUAUCUAUGACUUUUACUUUGAGGAAAUUAGAGUGUUCACGGCAGGCAAACGCCUUGAAUAUAUUAGCAUGGAAUAAUAACAUAGGAUCUUCGUCCUAUUUUGUUGGUUUCUAGGGCUAAGAUAAUGAUUAAUAGGGAUAAUUGGGGGCAUCUGUAUCAACGCGUCAGAGGUGGAAUUCUUGGAUUGCGUUGCGACAAACUACUGCGAAAGCAUUUGCCAAGGAUGUUUUCAUUGA